CACAUUGAUAAAUACCUACAGCUUCUUACGGACUGAGUGCCUUUUCUAUAACUUUUUGGUGACUUUUUGGUUAUAAUAAUGCUGGGUUGGUACCUAGAGAUGAUGGUGAUGGGAUUGUUUGAAAUACCACAGACUGAAGAUGGAUCCUCAGGAGUCUGUCUCUUUAACAUAAAAAGCUCUUUAAUUUUAGGGGCAAGUCCUUGAUCCCUCUCAAAAUGAAGUGUGAGGGACUGCACCCCCCAACCCUGAGUGGGGCAUGAGAGUCCCCUGGCUCUGGGUGGAAUCCGUCAAUGCGCAGACUCGGGCCACCAAGGCAAAGGGGUGUCUUUCCCCAUGUUUGGGUCUCCGUGUGUUGACAUAUGGGUUGCAGUAAAGAAAUUCAGACUAACCUCACCCUGAGGUGCUUGCGGCUUGAAAAACAAAUUCACAUAUGGAAAGAGAACAUGUAACAGCAACCAACAGGAAAGAAACAACUCGGCAUGGGUCUGAACCAAAAGCAAGCAUGAAUCUGAACACCCCCACCUGUUGAGAAAGAUACAUCUGCAGGAGAGGAGAGUGGGGGGUCCUUGCCGUUGAGGGAAGCCUGGAUGUGCAGAAGUGAGAGACAAUAAUCGAUAUCCCUGUUGGUCCUCUCAGCUGAUAGAUAAAGGGCUGAGCAGGCAUUCCUUUCCAUUUUGUUCAGGUUCUUACGCUACCCACAGCUGUCACUGUGGUACCUGUCCAGGAGCCUGAUCUUCCUUGUCCCUGUAGGGAGGAGCCGGCCCAGUGAGGGUUGAGGCACAUUGGAGGGGGAAGCUUGCGCUGUGUCUGUUCUGGAACUGCAUGGAUGGCUUUAGUUUGAGCUUUCAGUCCAAUUCCAUCCAUGAGCCCUAAGCACAGAUGCACACAUGCCCACAGCAAAGCUGCAGCAUGGAUUGCCUUUUAACACUGACCUUGCUGGUUAACUCCACGCAGGUCAUAGUCUGUACGUUCUGGGAGGCAGAGCCCAUAUCAUCUAUACUCCCCAGGUGGAUGUUCAACAAGUUCAGAAAACAUGAACACAUGCAAGUGAAGUGCAAAGACCUGAGACAGAAGCGCACGGUUCAGCUUAUCAGUGCAGUGCAUAGCACAAAUGGGUACUAGUCCAUGACUAGGACUCAUAGGGACUGAAGUAAUGCAAGGGUGUAUUACUACUGCUACUAAGGGUAUGUCUACACUACGAAAUUAGGUCAAAUUUAUAGAAGCCGGUUUUAUAGAAAUCGCUUUUAUACAGUUGAUUGUGUGUGU